rnacentral:rRNA from 1 species
CCUACGGGAGGCAGCAGUAAGGAAUAUUGGUCAAUGGACGAAAGUCUGAACCAGCCAUGCCGCGUGAAGGAUUAAGGCCCUCUGGGUUGUAAACUUCUUUUAUCUGGGACGAAAAAAGGGUAUUCUUACUCACUUGACGGUACCAGAGGAAUAAGCACCGGCUAACUCCGUGCCAGCAGCCGCGGUAAUACGGAGGGUGCAAGCGUUAUCCGGAUUUACUGGGUUUAAAGGGUGCGUAGGUGGGCUUGUAAGUCAGUGGUGAAAUCUCCGGGCUUAACCCGGAAACUGCCAUUGAUACUAUAGGUCUUGAAUUAUCUGGAGGUAAGCGGAAUAUGUCAUGUAGCGGUGAAAUGCUUAGAUAUGACAUAGAACACCAAUUGCGAAGGCAGCUUACUACGGAUAUAUUGACACUGAGGCACGAAAGCGUGGGGAUCAAACAGGAUUAGAUACCCUGGUAGUCCACGCCCUAAACCGAUGGAUACUCGACAUCAGCGAUACACUGUUGGUGUCUGAGNGAAGANAUAAUAUACCACCNCGGAGAGANAGCAGAUAGAAGACAAGAAGAGUAGACGNGNGAGAGACGACGACGACGACGACGGAGGAGGAGG